AAUCCAUGAUGAGGACACCUUUUCAAAAGAUCCUUAAAUCUCUCCCAUGCAUCAUAUGAUCCCAAGUCGUGAUAGAACCUAAUGGCAAU
rfam:Gossypium raimondii Chr13_contig_315, whole genome shotgun sequence.